UCGAGAAUCUUCCGCAAUGGACGAAAGUCUGACGGAGCGACGUCGCGUGAUGGACGAAGUACUUCGGUACGUAAACAUCUUUUAUGUGGGACGAAAUUAUUGACGGUACCACAUGAAUAAGGGGCUCCUAACUCUGUGCCAGCAGGAGCGGUAAUACAGAGGCCCCAAGCAUUAUCCGGAAUCACUGGGCGUAAAGGGUGUCGAGGCGGCUAUGUUAGUCUUCCGUAAAAUCCGUGGGCUCAACCUACGGUCGGCGGGGGAAACGGCAUAGCUUGAGAGCAAAAGAGGUGCAUGGAACUCACGGUGUAGGGGUGAAAUCCGUUGAUAUCGUGGGGAACACCAAAGGCGAAGGCAGUGCACUGGUUUGUUUCUGACGCUCACACACGAAAGCCAGGGUAGCGAACGGGAUUAGAUACCCAUGUAGUCCCUGAGCGGGCUGGCAAGGCGCAU
rnacentral:rRNA from 1 species